ACAAUUCAGUGUGGACAGUGCCUGGUGGAAACUAUUCAGCUUUCCAAUCAUCUCCAAGUCCCUUGUGAAUGGUUCGUCCAGAGCCAAAAGCCUGUUGACAAGCUGGAGAAACACAUGCCGAAGUACUUAAGACAGAAACUACGUGCUGAAUUAAAGCCAAAGACACGGAUCUUCGAAAUCCAGCCCAUUUCUGGAGUCUUGGAUCCUGGUGAGAAGUCCAACGUGCAAGUGAAAUUCAUGCCGAAAGAAGAGAAAUUCUACAGCCAAACCCUGGUGUUUCAGAUUGCCCAGAGUGCUCAAAAGCUUACCCUGCUGGCACGUGGGCAAGGUCUAGAGCCACGCCUGGAAUUUAGUCCUUCAGUCCUGGAUCUGGGGCCACUGCUACUUUGUGCACCUGGAGACGAGGCCGAGGUGAUAGUGAAGAAUCCCUGCAACUUCCCCAUUGAGUUUUAUUCCUUAGAAUUUGAUCAGCAGUAUCUCAUAGAAGAAAAGAUCUUGCGGAAGCUGAAGGGCUAUGAUUCCUACAACACCCUGCUGCUGCCUCCCCGCAACCCUGGGGAGAAGCUGCCCCCAGAACUGUACGAGUACUUCAAAGAGAUAAAGAAGUCAAAAGAGGAGCAGAUGAGGGCGAAAUAUCUGGAGAAUCUGGCACAGGAGAAUGAAGAGGAAGAUAUAACCUCAUCAGAUCAGGGAACCUCCAAUAGCACGAAGAGGACUUCGCUGAGCCGAGGGGUCUCUGUCACAUCCAACCUGGAAGAAUGGCACGCCCUGUUGGUCGAGUCCAAAACCUACCUAGAGGAAGAGGAGGAUGAGGAAAGCCUGGAAAAAAUCAUUUUCCAAACUGACAAGCUUCAGAGCAUUGACAGCCACUCCAUGGAGGAAGUUGGAGAGGUGGAAAACAACCCAGUGAGCAAAGCAAUCGCUCGCCACCUGGGCAUUGACAUUUCUGCAGAAGGCCGCCUGGCCAAGAACCGGAAAGGCAUCGCCAUUAUCAUUCACGGGACACCCUUGUCAGGAAAGUCAGCCAACGCCGUUAGCGUGGCCAAGUACUACAACGCAGCCUGCCUGAGCAUCGACUCCAUUGUGCUGGAAGCUGUGGCCAACAGCAACAACAUCCCAGGGAUCCGGGCCCGUGAGCUCUGCAUCAGGGCUGCCAUAGAGCAGUCCAUGAAGGAAGGAGAGGAGGCUGCUGAGUGACUGCUACCGAGGAGUGGUGUUUGAUGGCCUCGACACUCUCUUUGCUCCGAAUGCUGCAGCCGCCCUCCUCUGCCUGCUGAAGGCCAUUGGCAGCCGGGAGCAUAUAUACAUUCUCAACAUGGCCCAGGAUUACGCAGCCAUGAAGGCCCAGGAGAAAGCCAAAAAGGAGCAAGAAGAACGCAAGCACAAGGAAGCUCUUGAGAAAGAGAAGGAGCGUCUCCAAAACAUGGAUGAGGAAGAAUAUGAUGCCCUGACUGAGGAGGAGAAACUCACAUUCGAUCGGGGGAUUCAGCAGGCUCUCCGCGAGCGGAAGAAGAGGGAGCAGGAGAAGCUGGCAAAGGAAAUGCAAGAAAAGAAGCUACAGCAGGAGCUGGAGCGACAAAAGGAAGAGGAUGAGCUGAAACGGAGGGUCAAAAAAGGAAAGCAGGGACCCAUUAAGGAGGAGCCCCCCAUGAAGAAAUCUCAAGCGGCAAACAAGCAGCUACUGUGUGCUGAAUUCCUGCUAUGUGACACUCCCUGCUGGGAACUGUGAAUAGAUCCCAUCACCAUCUACCUCCAGUCUCCACAACACCCGCUGAGGGAGAUAUGAUCAUCACCAUCAUUUUGGAGAUGAGGAAGCUGGAAUGCAGCACAGUUCCUCCGCUCACCAAAGUGGAUGUCAAGAUGGAGACAAUCGAAAGGAAAAUAUCUGCUAGGGAACAAACAAUGUCUGAGAAGGAAGAGCUAAAUAAGAAGAAAAGGAACAUGGGCGAUGUCAGCAUGCAUGGGCUUCCUCUUGUCCAGGACCAAGAGGACAGUGAAGGGGACAUCUCAAAGGACCCCGACAAGCAACUGGCCCAGAAGUUUAAGGCCUAUGAAUUGACACUGAAGGAUGUCCAGAACAUCCUCAUGUACUGGGACCGGAAGCAAGGAGUCCAGCUGCCUCCUGCAGGGAUGGAGGAAGCGCCCCAUGAGCCCGACGACCAGCGCCAGGUCCCCUCGGGUGGGCGCAGGGGCCGCAAGGACCGGGAGAGAGAGCGCCUGGAGAAGGAGCGCACGGAGAAGGAGCGCCUGGAGAGGGAGAAGGCGGAGCGGGAGCGCCUGGAGAAGCUGCGAGCCCUGGAGGAGCGGAGCGACUGGGAGGGGGAAGGGGAGGAGGACCACGAAGGGAAGAAGGAGAAGGACCUGGGCGUACCCUUCCUUAACAUCCAGACACCAGACUUUGAAGGCAUGAGCUGGAAGCAGGCCCUAGAGAGCGACAAGCUUCCCAAAGGAGAGCAGGCUCAAGAGGAGCAGACCAGCUCAUCUAAGGGGGGCAAACAGAAAAUGAAAGAAAAGAUAGACCAAGUCUUCGAGACUCAGAAAGACAAGCGUCACAUGGCCUUAAACAGGAAGGUCCUUUCUGGGGAACCUGCUGGAACCAUUUCCCAGCUGUCAGAUACAGACCUGGACAACUUCAAUGGGCAGCACUCCCAGGAGAAAUUCACCAGACUGAAUCACUUCCGGUGGAUCGUGCCAGCCAAUGGCGAGGUAACGUUGCAGGUGCACUUCUCUUCUGAUGAGUUUGGGAACUUUGACCAAACCUUUAACUUUGAGAUCCUAGGAACUUGCUGCCAGUACCAGCUCUACUGCCGAGGCAUCUGCACUUACCCAUACAUUUGCCAAGACCCAAAAGUGGUAUUUCCUCAGCGGAAGAUGGACAUGAAGACAAAUGAGGUCAUCUUUAAGAAGUAUGUUAUGAGCACGGAGACGUACUACUUUGGGCCACUACUUUGUGGAAAAUCAAGAGAUAAGUACAAGUCAUCCUUAUUCCCAGGCAACAUGGAGACGCUGACAAUCCUGAACACUUCCUUAAUGGUGGUGGAGGCAUCCUUCUAUUUUCAGAAUGAUGUCAAAGCAAACACGUACUUCCUGGAACCCAACACCAUGGUCCUGAAACCCAAUGAGAAGCAGAUAUUAAACGUAUGGGCCUACCCUACUUCAGUUGGUGUCUUUGAAGACAGCAUUGUCUGCUGCAUCAAUGACAACCCAGAGCCAGCCAUCUUCCAAUUAAGCUGCCAGGGGGUCCGCCCGGAACUAGAGCUGGAACCCAGGCAAUUACAUUUUGAUCGGCUCUUGCUGCACAGACAGGAAUCCAGGGUAGUUCUUCUCCGCAAUGUUACGCUCCUGCCUGUGGCCUGGCGGAUCACCAGCCUGGAGCACUUGGGUGAUGAUUUCACUGUAUCCCUGAUGCAGGGGACCAUCCCCCCUGAGGCUGAGUACGGUCUGCACCUGUACUUUCAGCCCACCAAGCCUGUCAACAUCAAGAAGGCUAUUCGGUUGGAGGUUUUAGAUGCAGAAAAUCUUCUUGGUGUUGUUCAGAUUGAAAAUAUCAUGGUCUUUGCAGAGGCAUACGACAUCGCCUUGGACAUCACCUUCCCCAAAGGAGCUGAAGGGGGACUGGAUUUUGGGAUUGUCAGGGUCACAGAGGAGGCGAAGCAGCCCCUGCAAUUGAAGAACCGUGGGAAAUAUGAGAUCGCGUUCAGGUAACUGGAAUCCCAUCAGAUGUAAGGCCAUCAAGUCCGCCGUGGGGAGGAAUGUGGGGAAAUAUGAGAUCGUGUUCAGGUAACCUGAAUCCCAUAGGGUUUGCGGCCGUCAAGUCCACCGUGGGGAAGAGUGUGUCUGGGAAACUUAUCAGUCAGUCAAGGAAAUCAUAAGAACCGUCUCUGCUUUUUUGCCUCCCUUGGCUUCAAAAGAAUGGAAUUCCACCUGCUAAGGGAGCAGAGAUUCUCACACUGCUCUCAACUCUGCAGCUUAACAGGGGCCUUUAAGUGGCCCGGAUGUACCUGGCCAGUUGGAACCAUAGGUGUCUGGGAAUGGAGGAAGAGACUUAGGGGAAGAGGCCGGGAGGGGGAGAUUCUAGGGGUGAGAAGAGGUCCCAGGGUGGAGGGAGAGACUGGAGAUGGGCGACCUGGCCUCAAGCUGUCCUGCCUUCUGCCAGCUCUUAUCUGCUUUACAAGGAGACCUUCUUCAGCAGAUUUCAUGUGAAGAAAGGGCUUUCCUUUUUCAUUACAUUCUAAGAAUCAUGAUAUUGUACAAUCCAAAUAGUAGCUUGGUAGAAUAGAGCUCUGGCUUGUGCUCAUCCCCUGAGAUAAAAAAUGAAACACAGAGGCUGGGUGUGAUGGCUCAUGCCUGUAAUCCCAGUACUGUAGGAGGCCAAGGCAGGCAGAUUGCUUGAGCCCAGGAGUUCGAGACCAGCCUGAGCAAAGUGGCAAGACCCCCCUGCCUCUACAAAAUACAAAAAAAGUUAGCUAGGCGUGGUGGUCAUAUCACUUGUAGUCCCAUCUACUUGGGAGACUGGAAUGGGAGGAUCGCUUGAGCCCAGAGAGGUCAAGGCUGCAGUGAGCCGUGAUUGUGCCACUGCACUCCAGCCUCAGCAACAGAGCGAGACCCUGUCUC
rnacentral:sRNA from 1 species